rnacentral:lncRNA from 1 species
UAAAAUGCACUAGUUUUAAUCCUAUUACUUCAAACACAAAUUAAACACACGAAAGGCAGUGAACCUAUUGAUUAAUAGUAUAGUUUAAUCAAGUAGGGUAUCGAACACAGGGAACGGUAACAAUCAAAUUAAAUACUAGUAUUACCUAAUUAAAAACAAUUAAUAAAAGAGGGGGGUUUCUCUAGUUUUGCAAGACUAGAAACUUAAUCAAUCAAUUAACUUUCAAACAAAGACAAUUAACAACUAAGAAGAACAAUAAAGGACAACUAGAUUCAAUGAUAAAAGAGACUUCUGUUCAUAUUCGAUUCACUUAUUCCUAUGGUUGAUUUCGUGGCAAGUGCAAUGGUUACCGAUUCCUAAUGUGAUUGGGUUCAUGUUCAUUAUUACCAAUCCUUUAGUAGACAAGUUAAUUCAAACAAUGGCUAGUUGAUUAAACUAACAAGUUUCCUAGUGUUUAGUUCGUAUCAAGCAAGACUUAUAAUAAUAGUUAAUCAAAUUUGUUCAAUUCAAUCAACUCAUGUAUAGAUGUUCAUCACACAUGCUCACACAUUGAUUUACAUAUUUUAUAGUUAACCCUAGUUUCAUAUUCACUAUUCCUAGGCAUACAAUCUUAUAUUCAUAAAACUAUAUGAAUCAAGUAAUCAAGAAGAUAUUCAUGCAACUCAAUCACUUAUUUGUUAACUAAAAACAUUUAUCAUCAAUACAUAAGGAUCUUUAAUAAGCUUAACAAGAUGAAUAACCAAAUUAAUAUCAAUUCAACCACUCAAUCAAACCAUAUUCAUAAGAUUAUCUCAUCCAAACAGAAGUAAAAAGCUUUUAGCUCAUAUCUAAAGCAAGUAAUAACCUAAAAUCAAAAUCUAAUGAUUCAAACAUGGUUCAAAACAAAGAUUAAGAAAAGAAGAAUGAUUAUUUGCCUUUGAUUCUCUUCUAAAUUGUCUCUUAUGUUGCAAUCUCGAAAAUAGCAGCUCCAAGAACCCUUCUGGUCUUCAAAAGUCGCAGCUAGCCUCCACAAAAAGUUAGGGUUCGAAUGAGAAGAGUUUCUAUAUAUAAAUUCUGAAAACAGCGUCAACUCGACGAGUUUUCACCAAAAACUCGUCGAGUUUUUUCGAUAAUCCGCGUAUACAGCGUGUACGGCAAGGCAUCUUCGAAUCUGGAACAUUCUAACCAACUCGUCGAGUUUGUGCUAAAAACUCGUCGAGUUUCUUUUGGAAUCAACAUUUUCUCAAAACACGAAAGUCGUCCGAAAUUGUGUCUAGUUUUCAUAACAUUUUGAAUCUCGUCAAUCGGAGUUACGGUUCAUGAGAUAUGGCCAAAACACUGACGAGGGGUCAAGCUGUCCAGCAACAUCCUUCUUUCUUCAAAAUCCAAGAUCCAAGCUUCCAAUCACUCAAUCCUCUUCCUUUCUCACCCGAGCAUGUCUUUUAUUGCUGAAAUUGAAAUAUUAAGCUAAUUAAGUAUCUUUUGUUCAUAAAAUGAUAUAAAAUCAACAAUAAUUAAUAAGAUAAUGAAUGAUUUCUAUGACUAAAUAAGCCCAUAUCAAAAUACCCCACACUUGACUUUUGCUUGCCCCCAAGCAAAACCGAAUUUUAGCACACUAAUACCACAUAAGACAAUCCCAAUCGAACCCAGCCAUUAUGCCAAGACCGCAACGCAUGCAUUUGUGUCUAAAAUUUUCCUAAGAACCCCCCUCAAUUCUAAAUACUCACAAUCCUCAUAAACACUCGCCCACUUCUUUCGAACAACGCUCAUUUUAUGCAUCCCUCCGAAUCCAUCCCCAGAAAACUUUCUUAACCUCAAGUCAUUUUUGGUUAAAUCCCCAAGCAUACAUACGAUAAAAUAACCUAGAAAAGAAAAUUACAAAUAAAAGACAAAUACAACUUUUGAUUGAAUCUUUUAUACUUUGUAGCUUUUCUUCAUGAUAUUCUUCUUUGUCUUCACAACUUUGUAGAUUCUUUAUUCAAGCAUUUCAUCACUUUUUUUUUCAACUUUUUUUUCUUUUCUUUUUUUUUUUCUUUUUUUUUCACACACUUUUUCCAUUNUCCUACACUACCCUAAUAAACUAGAAGUUCAAAAAGAAAAAGAAAAGCAAACUUCUAAUGACGGGUUGCCUCCCGCAAGCACUUCUUUUUGUGCGAGUCUUUAGCUGGACUCUCAACUUAAUAAACUUCCAAUAAAGUCAAUGCCAAUCCAUCUGUUGCAUUGAAUAUCUUCUUUGGUGGACCAAUUUGUAAAAUUUGGCUCUUUGCUUCUAUAAUUGGCCAAACGAGCUUGAAUAUAUAAAACCCAAGAAUCUUGAUAAGGGUUGGGACCGGUUGGAUACUAAUCAGAAAUGGAUCGCGUUUCAGAACUUUCUCCAAAGUUGGAAUCGUCACCCCAUCCUUCGAAACACAAACUGGAAAUACAGGGGGCCAUGUCGUGGUAAUGGUCAAACCACAGCUUGGUUCCUGCAAUUCAGCUUGUUCUCGUUCUUCAUUUGACCCUUCUGCUAGCAAUCUUUCCAGCUCCUCCAAAUCUCUUUCUGGAUUAAAUUCUUCAUCUUUUAACUCUAGCUCUUGUAACUCAGGUUGCUCUUUUUCAUUAGGCAAGAUGUUAUCUAACCAUCUUCCAAAUUUCAUCAAAUCCUCAUCUGAGUCAUAUUCCUCAUCUUCUUGCUCAAUUUCCUGUACUACUUCCUCAAGAAAAGCAUCAAAAGCAUCGAGAUUUGGAAAAUACAUAAUAAUAUUAUAAUAAAAAUUAAAACAGAAAACGUGUAACUUUAUAUGAGAUAAAUCUCACACAAAGGAUCGAUAACACUAGCAAAUAUAAUUAACUAUUAGAACCGUUCCCCGGCAACGGCGCCAAAAACUUGAUGUGUGUAAGAUGUGUGUAAAACGCACUAGUUUUCAUCCUAUUACUUCAAACACAAAUUAAACACACGAAAGGCAGUGAACCUAUCGAUUAAUAGUAUAGUUUAAGCAAGUAGGGUAUCGAACACAGGGAACGGUAACAAUCAAAUUAAGUACUAGUAUUACCUAAUUAAAAACAAUUAAUAAAAGAGGGGGUUUCUCUAGUUUUGCAAGACUAGAAACUUAAUCAAUCAAUUAACUUUCAAACAAAGACAAUUAACAACUAAGAAGAACAAGAAAGGACAACUAGAUUCAAUGAUAAAAGAGACUUCUGUUCAGAUUCGAUUCACUUAUUCCUAUGGUUGAUUUCGUGGCAAGUGCAAUGGAUUAAUAUGUCAAUGGUUACCGAUUCCUAAUGUGAUUGGGUUCAUGUUCAUUAUUACCAAUCCUUUAGUAGACAAGUUAAUUCAAACAAUGGCCAGUUGAUUAAACUAACAAGUUUCCUAGUGUUUAGUUCGUAUCAAGCAAGACUUAUAAUAAUAGUUAAUCAAAUUUGUUCAAUUCAAUCAACUCAUGUAUAGAUGUUCAUCACACAUGCUCACACAUUGAUUUACAUAUUUUAUAGUUAACCCUAGUUUCAUAUUCACUAUUCCUAGGCAUACAAUCUUAUAUUCAUAAAACUAUAUGAAUCAAGUAAUCAAGAAGAUAUUCAUGCAACUCAAUCACUUAUUUGUUAACUAAAAACAUUUAUCAUCAAUACAUAAGGAUCUUUAAUAAGCUUAACAAGAUGAAUAACCAAAUUAAUAUCAAUUCAACCACUCAAUCAAACCAUAUUCAUAAGAUUAUCUCAUCCAAACAGAAGUAAAAAGCUUUUAGCUCAUAUCUAAAGCAAGUAAUAACCUAAAAUCAAAAUCUAAUGUUUCAAAC